UACGUAGGGUGCGAGCGUUAAUCGGAAUUACUGGGCGUAAAGGGCGCGUAGGCGGCCUGUUAAGUCGGACGUGAAAUCCCUCGGCUCAACCGGGGAACUGCGUCCGAUACUGGCGGGCUUGAAUUCGGGAGAGGGAUGUGGAAUUCCAGGUGUAGCGGUGAAAUGCGUAGAUAUCUGGAGGAACACCGGUGGCGAAGGCGGCAUCCUGGACCGACAUUGACGCUGAGGCGCGAAAGCCAGGGGAGCAAACAGG
rnacentral:rRNA from 1 species